rnacentral:misc_RNA from 1 species
GAAUGCUGAUGAUUGGGCUACAAGGGGUGGUCUGGUCAAGACAGACUGGACGCAAGCUCCUUUCACUGCUUCCUAUAGGAAUUUCAAUGCCGAUGCUUGUAUAUGGUCUAAUGGGGCAUCUUCUUGCAACUCAAAUUCACCCUCCACUAGUAAUGGAUGGCUAUCACAACAAUUGGACACAACAAGCCAGGAAAGGCUCCAAUGGGUACAAAAAAAAUUACAUGAUCUAUAACUACUGCACAGACAAUAAAAGAUUUCCACAGGGACUCCCUCCAGAAUGCAGCAUCUCAUAGAGAAGAUUCGCCAAUCAAUACACAGAUAUUUUUGCUUUUUUACUUCUCCAUUCUUUGAUUCUUUGUUUGUGAUAUUCAAUUCCUUUGUAAUGAUUGCAAUACAAUAACACUAUCAAAAUUUAAAGAUUCUUAUUUGUUUA